GCAUACCAUGCAAGUCGAACGGUGACGAGCAGCUUGCUGCUCUGAUCAGUGGCGAACGGGUGAGUAACACGUGAGCAACCUACCCUUGACUCCGGGAUAACAGCUGGAAACAGCUGCUAAUACCGGAUACGACCUCGACCGACAUCAGUUGAGGUGGAAAGUUCUGGCGGUCAAGGAUGGGCUCGCGGCCUAUCAGCUAGUUGGUGAGGUAACGGCUCACCAAGGCUUCGACGGGUAGCCGGCCUGAGAGGGCGACCGGCCACACUGGGACUGAGAUACGGCCCAGACUCCUACGGGAGGCAGCAGUGGGGAAUAUUGCACAAUGGGCGAAAGCCUGAUGCAGCAACGCCGCGUGCGGGAUGACGGCCUUCGGGUUGUAAACCGCUUUCAGCUCCGACGAAGCGCAAGUGACGGUAGGAGCAGAAGAAGGACCGGCCAACUACGUGCCAGCAGCCGCGGUGAUACGUAGGGUCCGAGCGUUGUCCGGAAUUAUUGGGCGUAAAGGGCUUGUAGGCGGUUUGUCGCGUCGGAAGUGAAAACUCAGGGCUUAACCCUGAGCCUGCUUCCGAUACGGGCAAACUAGAGGAAUGCAGGGGAGAAUGGAAUUCCUGGUGGAGCGGUGGAAUGCGCAGAUAUCAGGAGGAACACCAGUGGCGAAGGCGGUUCUCUGGGCAUUUCCUGACGCUGAGAAGCGAAAGCGUGGGGAGCAAACAGGCUUAGAUACCCUGGUAGUCCACGCCGUAAACGGUG
rnacentral:rRNA from 1 species